GACGAACGCUGGCGGCGUGCUUAACACAUGCGAGUCGUACGGUAAGGCCCUUUCGGGGGUACACGAGUGGCGAACGGGCGAGUAACACGUGAGUAACCUGCCCACAACUUUGGGAUAACGCUAGGAAACUGGUGCUAAUACUGGAUAUGUGCUCCUGCUGCAUGGUGGGGGUUGGAAAGCUCCGGCGGUUGUGGAUGGACUCGCGGCCUAUCAGCUUGUUGGUGGGGUAGUGGCCUACCAAGGCGGCGACGGGUAGCCGGCCUGAGAGGGUGACCGGCCACAUUGGGACUGAGAUACGGCCCAGACUCCUACGGGAGGCAGCAGUGGGGAAUAUUGCACAAUGGGCGCAAGCCUGAUGCAGCAACGCCGCGUGCGGGAUGACGGCCUUCGGGUUGUAAACCGCUUUCAGCAGGGACGAAGCUUUUUGUGACGGUACCUGCAGAAGAAGCACCGGCUAACUACGUG
rnacentral:rRNA from 1 species